rnacentral:rRNA from 1 species
GACGAACGCUGGCGGCGUGCUUAACACAUGCAAGUCGUACGGUAAGGCCCUUUCGGGGGUACACGAGUGGCGAACGGGUGAGUAACACGUGAGUAACCUGCCCACAACUUUGGGAUAACGCUAGGAAACUGGUGCUAAUACUGGAUAUGUGCUCCUGCUGCAUGGUGGGGGUUGGAAAGCUCCGGCGGUUGUGGAUGGACUCGCGGCCUAUCAGCUUGUUGGUGGGGUAGUGGCCUACCAAGGCGGCGACGGGUAGCCGGCCUGAGAGGGUGACCGGCCACAUUGGGACUGAGAGACGGCCCAGACUCCUACGGGAGGCAGCAGUGGGGAAUAUUGCACAAUGGGCGCAAGCCGGAUGCAGCAACGCCGCGUGCGGGAUGACGGCCUUCGGGUUGUAAACCGCUUUCAGCAGGGACGAAGCUUUUUGUGACGGUACCUGCAGAAGAAGCACCGGCUAACUACGUG